rnacentral:tRNA from 1 species
AGUCUUAUAUUCAAUUAUGAUUUUAAAUUGCAAAUUUAAAGGUGAAUAUUAUAUUCUAAGGCUU